rnacentral:rRNA from 1 species
AUGGUUAGGAGUGUACCGAUUGGUGAGAAGCUCUUCAUAGGAGGAGACCUCAAUGGCCACGUGGGUACAUCUAACACAGGUUUUGAAGGGGCGCAUGGGGGCUUUGGCUAUGGCAUCAGGAAUCAAGAAGGAGAAGAUGUCUUAAGCUUUGCUCUAGCCUACAACAUGAUUGUAGCUAACACCCUCUUUAGAAAGAGAGAAUCACAUCUGGUGACUUUUAGUAGUGGCCAACACUCUAGCCAGGGUGACUAUAAGGUGAUACCUGGGGAGAGUGUUGUACCCCAGCAUAAGCUGGUGGUUGCUGACUUCCGCUUUCGGAUUCGUGUCCAGCAGGAUAAGCGUGCCAAGGUCGCUAGAACGAAGUGGUGGCAGCUCAAAGGGGAGGUAGCUCAGGUGUUCAAGGAGAGGGUAUUUAAGAAGGGCCCUUGGGAGGAAGGAGGGGAUGCGGACAAUGUGUGGAUGAAGAUGGCGACUUGCAUUCGUAAGGUGGCCUCGGAGGAGUUUGGAGUGUCCAGGGGAAGGAGAAGCAAAGAUAAGGAUACCUGGUGGUGGAAUGAUGAUGUCCAGAAGGCCCUUAAAGAGAAGAAAGAUUGCUUCAGACGCCUAUACCUGGAUAGGAGUGCAGACAACAUAGAGAAGUACAAGAUGGCGAAGAAGGCCGCAAAGCGAGCUGUUGGUGAAGCAAGGGGUCGGGCAUAUGAGGACCUCUACCAACGGUUAGGCACGAAGGAAGGUGAAAGGGACAUCUAUAAGAUGGCUAAGAUCCGGGAGAGGAAGACGAGGGAUAUUGGCCAAGUCAAAUGCAUCAAGGACGGAGCAGGCCAACUCUUGGUGAAGGACGAAGAGAUUAAGCAUAGAUGGUGGGAGUACUUCGACAAGCUGUUCAAUGGGGAGAAUGAGAGUUCUACCAUUGAACUGAAUGACUCCUUUGAUGAGACCAGCAUGCGUUUUGUGCGGCGCAUCCAGGAGUCUGAGGUGAAGGAGGCUUUAAAAAGGAUGAAAGGAGGCAAGGCGAUGGGUCCUGAUUGUAUCCCCAUUGAGGUGUGGAAAGGUCUCGGGGACAUAGCGAUAGUAUGGCUAACCAAGCUUUUCAACCUCAUUUUUCGGGCAAACAAGAUGCCAGAAGAAUGGAGACGGAGUAUAUUAGUACCAAUCUUCAAGAACAAGGGGGAUGUUCAGAGUUGUACUAAUUACCGUGGAAUUAAGCUGAUGAGCCAUACAAUGAAGCUAUGGGAGAGAGUCAUUGAGCACCGCUUAAGAAGAAUGACAAGCGUGACCAAAAAUCAGUUUGGUUUCAUGCCUGGGAGGUCGACCAGGGAAGCCAUUUUCUUGGUACGACAACUUAUGGAGAGAUAUAGGGAGCAUAAGAAGGACUUGCAUAUGGUGUUCAUUGACUUGGAGAAGGCCUAUGAUAAGAUACCGCGGAAUGUCAUGUGGUGGGCCUUGGAGAAACACAAAGUCCCAGCAAAGUACAUUACCCUCAUCAAGGACAUGUACAAUAAUGUUGUGACAAGUGUUCGAACAAGUGAUGUCGACACCGAUGACUUCCCGAUUAAGAUAGGACUGCAUCAGGGGUCAGCUUUGAGCCCUUAUCUUUUUGCAUUGGUGAUGGAUGAGGUCACAAGGGGUAUACAAGGAGAUAUCCCAUGGUGUAUGCUCUUUGCGGAUGACGUGGUGCUAGUUGACGAUAGUCGGACGGGGGUAAAUAGGAAGUUAGAGUUAUGGAGACAAACCUUGGAAUUGAAAGGGUUUAGGCUUAGUAGAACUAAAACCGAGUACAUGAUGUGCGGUUUCAGUACUACUAGCUGUGAGGAGGAGGAGGUUAGCCUUGAUGGCCAGGUGGUACCUCGGAAGGACACCUUUCGGUAUUUGGGGUCAAUGUUGCAGGAGGAUGGGGGUAUUGAUGAAGAUGUGAACCAUCGAAUUAAAGCCGGAUGGAUGAAGUGGCGCCAAGCUUCUGGCAUUCUCUGUGACAAGAGAGUGCCACAAAAGCUAAAAGGCAAGUUCUACAGGAUGGCAGUUCGACCCGCAAUGUUGUAUGGCGCGGAGUGUUGGCCGACUAAAAGGCGACAUGUUCAACAGUUAGGUGUGGCGGAGAUGCGUAUGUUGAGAUGGAUGUGUGGCCACACGAGGAAGGAUCGAGUCCGGAAUGAUGAUAUAUGA